GGCGGACGGGUGAGUAAUGCUUGGGGAUCUGGCUUAUGGAGGGGGAUAACGACGGGAAACUGUCGCUAAUACCGCGUAAUGUCUAAGGACUAGAGGGUGGGACUUUCGGGCCACCUGCCAUAAGAUGAGCCCAAGUGGGAUUAGGUAGUUGGUGGGGUAAAGGCCUACCAAGCCGACGAUCUCUAGCUGGUCUGAGAGGAUGACCAGCCACACUGGAACUGAGACACGGUCCAGACUCCUACGGGAGGCAGCAGUGGGGAAUAUUGCACAAUGGGGGGAACCCUGAUGCAGCCAUGCCGCGUGAAUGAAGAAGGCCUUCGGGUUGUAAAGUUCUUUCGGUGAUGAGGAAGGGUGGUGUUUUAAUAGAACAUUACAUUGACGUUAGUCACAGAAGAAGCACCGGCUAACUCCGUGCCAGCAGCCGCGGUAAUACGGAGGGUGCGAGCGUUAAUCGGAAUGACUGGGCGUAAAGGGCACGCAGGCGGUGACUUAAGUGAGAUGUGAAAGCCCCGAGCUUAACUUGGGAAUUGCAUUUCAUACUGGGUUGCUAGAGUAUUUUAGGGAGGGGUAGAAUUCCACGUGUAGCGGUGAAAUG
rnacentral:rRNA from 1 species